rnacentral:rRNA from 1 species
CAUGGGGGCCCAGCAAUGGGCAACCGGCGAACGGGUGCGUAACACGUGAGCAACCUGCCGAUCUGUGUGGAAUAGCCGGCCCAACGGCCGGGUAAUACCGCAUACGCUCAGUCUGUAGCAUUACGGAUUGAGGAAACCUUUUUGGGCGGAUCGAGGGGCUCGCGGCCUAUCAGCUAGUUGGCGAGGUAAUGGCUCACCAAGGCGAUGACGGGUAGCUGGUCUGAGAGGAUGGCCAGCCACAUUGGGACUGAGAUACAGCCCAGACUCCUACGGGAGGCAGCAGUGGGGAAUAUUGCGCAAUGGCCUAACGGCUGACGCAGCGACGCCGCGUGUGGGAUGAAGCCCUUCGGGGUGUAAACCACUGUUGCCCGGGACGAACAGCGAGCUUCAUCUUGCCUGACGGUUCCGGAUGAGGAAGCCCCGGCUAACUCCGUGCCGGCUGCCGCGGUAAUACUGAGGGGGCCAUCGUUGCCCGGAAUCGCUGGGCGUACUGGGCCUCUAUGUGGUGCCAGGGCUGUGUUGGGUUACACCCCGAAUGGCUUCCUCCCCUCCCGGCGUCCCUUCGUACUCGUUACGCCAUUGCCAAUAUUCCCCCUGCUGCCUCCCGUAAGAGUCUGGGCCGUAUCUCAAUCCCAAUGUGGCUGGCCACCUCUCAGACCAGCUACCCGUCAUCGCCUUGGUGAGCCAUUACCUCGCCAACUAGCUGAUACGCCGCGAGCCCCUCGAUCCGCCCAAAAAGGUUUCCUCAUCCGUAAUGCUACAGACUGAGCGUAUGCGGUAUUACCCGGCCGUUGGGCGGCUAUUCCACACAGAUCGGCAGGUUGCUCACGUGUUACUCACCCGUUCCCG